rnacentral:tRNA from 1 species
UCCCUGCUGGCUCAGACGGUAAAGCGUCUGCCUGAGAUGCAGGAGACUAGGGUUCUAUCCCUGGGUCGGGAA